rnacentral:misc_RNA from 1 species
GAUGAAGAACGUAGCGAAAUGGGAUAAGUAGUGUGAAUUGCAGAAUUCAGUGAAUCAUCGAAUCUUUGAACGCACAUUGCGCCUGCCAGCACUCUGGCAGGCAUGCCUGUUCGAGCGUCAUUUCAACCAUCAAGCCCUAGGCUUGCGUUGGAGCCCUGCGGCUGCCGCAGGCCCCUAAAAGCAGUGGCGGGCUCGCUAUCACACCGAGUGCAGUAGAUUACUCUUCGCUCAGGGCGUGUGGCGGGUUCCAGCCGUGAAACCCCCUACUUCUCAAGGUUGACCUCGGAUCAGGUAGGAAUACCCGCUGAACUUAAGCAUAUCAAUAAGCGGAGGA